AGAGUUUGAUCCUGGCUCAGAUUGAACGCUGGCGGCAUGCCUUACACAUGCAAGUCGAACGGCAGCAUAGGAGCUUGCUCCUGAUGGCGAGUGGCGAACGGGUGAGUAAUAUAUCGGAACGUGCCCUAGAGUGGGGGAUAACCAGUCGAAAGACUAGCUAAUACCGCAUACGAUCUACGGAUGAAAGUGGGGGAUCGCAAGACCUCAUGCCCCUGGAGCGGCCGAUAUCUGAUUAGCUAGUUGGUGGGGUAAAAGCUCACCAAGGCUACGAUCAGUAGCUGGUCUGAGAGGACGACCAGCCACACUGGGACUGAGACACGGCCCAGACUCCUACGGGAGGCAGCAGUGGGGAAUUUUGGACAAUGGGGGCAACCCUGAUCCAGCAAUGCCGCGUGAGUGAAGAAGGCCUUCGGGUUGUAAAGCUCUUUUGUCAGGGAAGAAACGGUUCUGGAUAAUACCUGGGACUAAUGACGGUACCUGAAGAAUAAGCACCGGCUAACUACGUGCCAGCAGCCGCGGUAAU
rnacentral:rRNA from 1 species